rnacentral:rRNA from 1 species
GAGAGUUAAAUAGUACGUGAAAUUGUUGAAAGGGAAACGAUUGAAGUCAGUCAUGCUAGUGAAAAAUCAGUUUGACGGGUUUUGAGUUCAGGAGUAGAGGCAGGGUCAAACCGUUUCUUUUUUGAACUUGGGAUUUGUUAGAUGUACUUUUUCUUUGGCAGGUCAGCGUCGAUUUCGGAGGUUGUAAAAUACUCGGGGGAAAGUAACUCUGCUUCGGGAGAGUAUUAUAGACCCUGGGGGAUGCAGCCUGCGGGAUCGAGGAUUGCAGCAAAUGCCUUUGGCUUGUCGCCUGAUCUCUGGAUGUUACCUCGCUUGUGACAACAUUCUUGCCACCUGUGGGUACUAAUGCCCAUUAGGUUAGAGCGAUCAAAAAUUUUGCUAAGGAUGCUGACGUAAUGGCUUUAAACGA